UUUAUUAAUUUUUAUAUAACAUAAUUAUAUUUAUAAUUUAGUCUGGUCCACCUCCCGAUCGUAAUACUGCCUUAAAUUUUCUGUGUCCAUAACGGAAG